UCUCCAACGCCCAAUAUCUAGUGCAUUGUCCAAAUAUCCAAAUUCUGACCGACUUUCAAUGCUCUUGGGGAAAAUUGUCUACAAUUUUGAGAAGCUUAUAAAGUCAUUUACUCAUCUUGAUAAGGAAUUCGCUCAUAUGAGGCAGAUAACUAAAUCUUGCAAAUCCCUGGAAAGUAUUGAUGGAGCUUAUGGAAACAGUUUUGGCAUGAAAGCGAAGCUCUCUUGGGCCACCUUACAUUCUCUUCUUCAUUCUGAAAGAACUCAGUGUCGUCACAAUGGUUAUCUAUGGUUGGGGGAUUUGAUCAUCACAGAGAUUGUCGAGGAAGGGGAUGCUAGUAUAUGGUCAAGCAUCAGAAGCUUGCAGGAGAAAAUUUCUCAAGCCAGUGUUAUUG
rnacentral:misc_RNA from 1 species